rnacentral:rRNA from 1 species
CUCCAAAGGAAGCUCCGGCUAACUCCGUGCCAGCAGCCGCGGUAAUACGGAGGGAGCAAACGUUGUUCGGAUUUACUGGGUGUAAAGGGUGCGUAGGCGGCUACGUGUGUCAGAGGUGAAAGCUCACGGCUCAACCGUGGAACUGCCUUUGAAACUGCGUACUUGUAGUCCGAGAGAGGAUGGUGGAAUUCCUGGUGUAUCGGCGAAAUGUGCAGAUAUCAGGAAAGAACACCGGUGGCGAAGGCGGCCAUCUGGCUCGGUACUGGCGCUGAGGCACGAAAGCUAGGGUAUCGAACGGGAUUAGAUACCCCGGUAGUCCUAGCCGUAAACGAUGUCCACUAGGUGUCGGAGGUCCUACCCCUUCGGUGCCGGAGCUAACGCAUUAAGUGGACCACCUGGGGAGUACGCUCGCAAGGGUGAAACUCAAAGGAAUUGACGGGGGCCCGCACAAGCGGUGGAGCAUGUGGUUUAAUUCGAUGCAACGCGAAGAACCUUACCUGGGCUUGACAUGCAGGGGACAGGUGUAGAGAUAUACCCUUCUUCAGCACUCCUGUACGAGGUGCUGCUAUGGCUGUCGUCAGGCUCGGUGUCGUUGAAAUGUCUGGGUCUAAGUCCCGCAACGAGCGCAACCCUUUCCUUAGUUGCCAGCACGUCAUGGUGGGAACUCUAGGGAGACUGCCGGUGACAAACCGGAGGAAGGUGGGGACGACGUCAAGUCAUCAUGGCCCUUACGUCCAGGGCUGCACACGUGCUACAAUGGCACAUACAGAGGGCAGCGAACCCGCGAGGGGAGCCAAUCCCAAAAAGUGUGCCUCAGUUCGGAUCGCAGUCUGCAACUCGAC